AUGGUCCAACGCUCCACCGUCCCCCGGCUCUCCUCCGGCAACUGGAAGCAGCGCACCCCCAUCUCCCUCCACCUCCACGCCCUGCACCUCUGGCGGGGGCGACGGCGACCCGAGGUCGUCACCAUCUCUCUCCGCCUUGAAGUUCCCUCACCUCCGGCAAAGACGACAACCAGGAGGUUAUCCUCCUCUUUCACCAAGUGUUUUGCUUUAUCCGAAGACGUUGUGUUCAAUUGCUUGGUGCCUUUCGAUUUGUUGGUCAUUGAGAAUAUUUUACUCGGAGCAAGAAAGAAUGUUCUUAAUUCUGUUUAUGCACAACGCAAUCUAUGGCAACGCCUAGGGCAUCUAGGAACCAUGCAUAUGAGAAAGGUCUUGUUGAUAUAA
rnacentral:rRNA from 1 species